rnacentral:tRNA from 1 species
CUUAAAUAGCUUACCUUAAAGCAUAGCACUGAAAAUGCUAAGACGGCCACGCCUGCUUAACA